UACGAAGGGGGCGAGCGUUAUUCGGAAUCACUGGGCGUAAAGCGUGCGUAGGCGGUUUUGUAAGUUGGAAGUGAAAGCCCAGGGCUCAACCCUGGAAUUGCUUUCAAAACUGCAAAACUUGAAUCUCGGAGAGGAUAGCGGAAUUCUCAGUGUAGCAGUGAAAUGCGUGGAUAUUGAGAGGAACACCGGUGGCGUAAGCGGCUAUCUGGACGAGUAUUGACGCUGAGGCACGAAAGCGUGGGGAUCAAACAGG
rnacentral:rRNA from 1 species